rnacentral:rRNA from 1 species
CUUGACGACCAUAGAGCGUUGGAACCACCUGAUCCCAUCCCGAACUCAGAAGUGAAACGAUGCAUCGCCGAUGAUAGUGUGGGGUUUCCCCAUGUGAGAGUAGGUCAUCGUCAAGA